rnacentral:rRNA from 1 species
UUAAGCGACUAAGCGUACACGGUGGAUGCCCUGGCAGUCAGAGGCGAUGAAGGACGUGCUAAUCUGCGAAAAGCGUCGGUAAGGUGAUAUGAACCGUUAUAACCGGCGAUGUCCGAAUGGGGAAACCCAGUGCAAUUCGUUGCACUAUCGUUAACUGAAUACAUAGGUUAACGAGGCGAACCGGGGGAACUGAAACAUCUAAGUACCCCGAGGAAAAGAAAUCAACCGAGAUUCCCCCAGUAGCGGCGAGCGAACGGGGAGCAGCCCAGAGUCUGAAUCAGCUUGUGUGUUAGUGGAACGGUCUGGAAAGUCCGACGGUACAGGGUGAUAGUCCCGUACACCAAAAUGCACAGGUUGUGAACUCGAAGAGUAGGGCGGGACACGUGGUAUCCUGUCUGAAUAUGGGGGGACCAUCCUCCAAGGCUAAAUACUCCUGACUGACCGAUAGUGAACCAGUACCGUGAGGGAAAGGCGAAAAGAACCCCGGCGAGGGGAGUGAAAAAGAACCUGAAACCGUGUACGUACAAGCAGUGGGAGCACCUUCGGGUGUGACUGCGUACCUUUUGUAUAAUGGGUCAGCGACUUAUAUUCUGUAGCAAGGUUAACCGUAUAGGGGAGCCGCAGGGAAACCGAGUCUUAACUGGGCGUUAAGUUGCAGGGUAUAGACCCGAAACCCGGUGAUCUAGCCAUGGGCAGGUUGAAGGUUGGGUAACACUAACUGGAGGACCGAACCGACUAAUGUUGAAAAAUUAGCGGAUGACUUGUGGCUGGGGGUGAAAGGCCAAUCAAACCGGGAGAUAGCUGGUUCUCCCCGAAAGCUAUUUAGGUAGCGCCUCGUGAACUCAUCUUCGGGGGUAGAGCACUGUUUCGGCUAGGGGGUCAUCCCGACUUACCAACCCGAUGCAAACUACGAAUACCGAAGAAUGUUAUCACGGGAGACACACGGCGGGUGCUAACGUCCGUCGUGAAGAGGGAAACAACCCAGACCGCCAGCUAAGGUCCCAAAGUCAUGGUUAAGUGGGAAACGAUGUGGGAAGGCACAGACAGCCAGGAUGUUGGCUUAGAAGCAGCCAUCAUUUAAAGAAAGCGUAAUAGCUCACUGGUCGAGUCGGCCUGCGCGGAAGAUGUAACGGGGCUAAACCAUGCACCGAAGCUGCGGCAGCGACACUAUGUGUUGUUGGGUAGGGGAGCGUUCUGUAAGCCUGCGAAGGUGUGCUGUGAGGCAUGCUGGAGGUAUCAGAAGUGCGAAUGCUGACAUAAGUAACGAUAAAGCGGGUGAAAAGCCCGCUCGCCGGAAGACCAAGGGUUCCUGUCCAACGUUAAUCGGGGCAGGGUGAGUCGACCCCUAAGGCGAGGCCGAAAGGCGUAGUCGAUGGGAAACAGGUUAAUAUUCCUGUACUUGGUGUUACUGCGAAGGGGGGACGGAGAAGGCUAUGUUAGCCGGGCGACGGUUGUCCCGGUUUAAGCAUGUAGGCUGAUUGUCCAGGCAAAUCCGGAUAAUCAAGGCUGAGGUGUGAUGACGAGGCACUACGGUGCUGAAGUAACAAAUGCCCUGCUUCCAGGAAAAGCCUCUAAGCAUCAGGUAACAUUAAAUCGUACCCCAAACCGACACAGGUGGUCAGGUAGAGAAUACCAAGGCGCUUGAGAGAACUCGGGUGAAGGAACUAGGCAAAAUGGUGCCGUAACUUCGGGAGAAGGCACGCUGGUGUGUAGGUGAAGUCCCUGCGGAUGGAGCUGAGACCAGUCGAAGAUACCAGCUGGCUGCAACUGUUUAUUAAAAACACAGCACUGUGCAAACACGAAAGUGGACGUAUACGGUGUGACGCCUGCCCGGUGCCGGAAGGUUAAUUGAUGGGGUUAUCCGUAAGGAGAAGCUCUUGAUCGAAGCCCCGGUAAACGGCGGCCGUAACUAUAACGGUCCUAAGGUAGCGAAAUUCCUUGUCGGGUAAGUUCCGACCUGCACGAAUGGCGUAAUGAUGGCCAGGCUGUCUCCACCCGAGACUCAGUGAAAUUGAACUCGCUGUGAAGAUGCAGUGUACCCGCGGCAAGACGGAAAGACCCCGUGAACCUUUACUAUAGCUUGACACUGAACAUUGAGCCUUGAUGUGUAGGAUAGGUGGGAGGCUUUGAAGCGUGGACGCCAGUCUGCGUGGAGCCAACCUUGAAAUACCACCCUUUAAUGUUUGAUGUUCUAACGUUGGCCCCUUACCGGGGUUGCGGACAGUGUCUGGUGGGUAGUUUGACUGGGGCGGUCUCCUCCCAAAGCGUAACGGAGGAGCACGAAGGUUAGCUAAUCCUGGUCGGACAUCAGGAGGUUAGUGCAAUGGCAUAAGCUAGCUUGACUGCGAGCGUGACGGCGCGAGCAGGUGCGAAAGCAGGUCAUAGUGAUCCGGUGGUUCUGAAUGGAAGGGCCAUCGCUCAACGGAUAAAAGGUACUCCGGGGAUAACAGGCUGAUACCGCCCAAGAGUUCAUAUCGACGGCGGUGUUUGGCACCUCGAUGUCGGCUCAUCACAUCCUGGGGCUGAAGUAGGUCCCAAGGGUAUGGCUGUUCGCCAUUUAAAGUGGUACGCGAGCUGGGUUUAGAACGUCGUGAGACAGUUCGGUCCCUAUCUGCCGUGGGCGCUGGAGAAUUGAGGGGGGCUGCUCCUAGUACGAGAGGACCGGAGUGGACGCAUCACUGGUGUUCGGGUUGUCAUGCCAAUGGCACUGCCCGGUAGCUAAAUGCGGAAGAGAUAAGUGCUGAAAGCAUCUAAGCACGAAACUUGCCCCGAGAUGAGUUCUCCCUGAGACUUUAAGUCUCCUGAAGGAACGUUAAAGACGAUGACGUUGAUAGGCCGGGUGUGUAAGCGCAGCGAUGCGUUGAGCUAACCGGUACUAAUGAACCGUGAGGCUUAACCUU